GGAAAAGAGCAGCUCCAACUACAUGUUUUUUUUCCCAGUUAGCCCAAACUUGCUGUUUAACCCCUUUCUCACCAAAGGCUGCCAAGUUCCCAGGAGCAUGGCUAAGACAGAUGGCCACAACCUCUUCAGAAAAUUGAAGUGGCAUUCAAUUGGUUUUUUUUUGUUUGUUUGUUUGUUUUUCGGUGGAAAAACAGCAUUUAGGAUCCUUCAGCACUUUUUGAGGUUCUGCUGCCAGACUGAUGCUGGGGCUUUCCAGCACACCAGCGGCCUACUCCUCACAAUCAAAUUGUUCACGGAGGUGCACAGUAUGCCCACAGAGCCAGGAAGGUGCCUUCAGAGCAGAGCUCCAGCACAGAGGAGGCACGUUUCGAACCAAAAGUGCAUAAGUGAUCUGCCUGGGCUGCAAUUUGCUCUCUGCAUAUCCUGCAAGAUCCCAUGUCUGUGAGUGAAAGCUCUGGAGCUUCCCAUUAACUUGAAAAAACAGGAAAAAAAGAAGGAAAAUCAGGUGUGUUCAUGGAUGCUUUGGCAUGGAAUACAGUGUUCUUCCUGCUGCCACAGAGAACUUCAUCAACCACGUCACCCAUUACUUAUGCAGUGCCCACAGGACGCUUUCUCCUCUAACAGAACUGCAGGCCAUUUUUGGCACAAAAUUAGAGGCACUGUAGCAGUUGGUUUUCCCAUACACGUUACAGAAUUUUGACUGAACUCUAUUCAGUACCUCUUCAGAAAGUCAGACCCACAGACCCAGUACUGAAUAGCUCACACAAAACUGGAGCGAUGUGAUCCCCUUGCAAAAGCCAGGUAGGCAUUUGGAAAAGCAUCGACUCUAGCGCAGUUAUUCUUGCUUUGUCUGAGCACCGAUGUGGUGUUUGUGGCAAGCAAAUGUCUACUGUAACAAAAGAGCUUGGACUCCAAGACAUGAAAAAAUAACGUUCAAAAGGCAUAGUCCAUGAAUUUUCAAAUGUGGUUGCAAACAAAGAUUACCAGAGAAAUGUCCAGCGUGUUGCAACACCUAUUGAGUCAAUGACAAAAAGCUGGCUUUGAUUACUGUUGUUCAGUGUUGAUGACAAACGCAAUUACAGGCAGAUAUGAGAGCCUGUCAGCACAGGACACUUUAAAUGUCCGCAUCAACUUCUAGCAGUUUGCUUAAAGAGCUGAUUCAAACAGCUGCUGAUGGGUCUUUUGCUCAACUUACUUCUCCAGCCCACGUAUCCCUCCAUCUACACACAGCCACGGCUUACUUGACUCGCAGGAGCAGCACAGUGUUUCAAGGGUGACAGUUAGCUAGGUGGCUGAUAAGUAUAGAUUCUGUAAAUACAACACUCUGUGCAUGAGUGCUCUGCGCAAUUGCUGCCUGAGCGUGUAAAACCUCUACUGGAAUUGUUCCUCUCAAAGAGUGGAAAUGGAAAUGGAUGAUAAAAAUGGAUGCUUGGCGCCCUGAAGAAAAUGUUGGUGGCAAAUGGAAUCAAACUUUCAUGGAAAAUAGCGAUGGGUUAUCUCAGCAAGGCUGCUCACUGAAGGAGGUUUCUCAGAUGUUUCAGCAUUAAAAAACUUCUAUAGAGAAACAUCUUUCUUUCCCUAAUCAUGCUUCCUAAUGCAGAUAACACCAAACCUUUGUGCAGAAAGGAAGUCAGAGAAAUGAUGCUAUGACGCAGGAAGCAGCAGGUUGUGUGGGUGGAACUGAAAUCAGAAAUUACACUAAGAAUAAUGUCUCUCAUCCAACAAAGCCAAAGUGCUCUGCAAAGUGACUUCAGCUGAGCAGCAGAGAUGGAUGAAUACUUAAAAUGUUAGUGCUGAUGGUGCAGAGGUCUUAUCUGAGGUCAGAGAGGAGGCUAACAAAGGGCAGGCACGGGACCACUGUGUUGGGACUUGUAGAGCUGUGGUUUAACCACCAGGCAAGAAAGACCUCAUUGAAAUUUAGCACUUAGUGUUCAGAAGAGGCUGUGCUCCCCAGCAAAAUGCCAGCUUCUUGUGAAAACCUUUGAAUAGGUUGCGUGGCUGCUGCAAAAGGUUAUUUAAGAGGCACCGUCUGUGUGCACCAUAGAACUUUUGAAGAGUUACUCAGAAGUCAGACUGUUUCUUUUUACUUUGUCUGCAAAACUCAGAUUUCAGGUACAGAUUACGCACUGUCUGCCUUGUGGCAGGAAAGCAAAGGGCUCAGGCUUACCUCUCCGUCAUUGGAAAAGUUCAAAGAAAUGAGAUUGCAGCUGUUCUGCUCACCCAAGUCCUUAGCCAGAAGACCCAUUAGAAUUUUAAAUUAGUAAUAAAUUAAAACAAUUCCUGCAAUAUGGAUUCUCAUUUGGUUCGGGGUGCAGGAGCUGAAGCAUGGACACCAUCCCUCCCAGUCUAUGUGACACAUGCUCAUUCUCUACCACCUUCUUGAGUAAAUAAGGACUGGUGUUUCCUC
ensembl:lncRNA